rnacentral:rRNA from 1 species
CACGUAGUUGGCCGGUGCUUCUUCUUCACCUACCGUCACCCAACUAAACGUCGAGCUUCGUCGAUGAUGAAAGAGGUUUACAACCCGAAGGCCGUCAUCCCUCACGCGGCGUUGCUGGAUCAGGCUUCCGCCCAUUGUCCAAUAUUCCCCACUGCUGCCUCCCGUAGGAGUCUGGGCCGUGUCUCAGUCCCAGUGUGGCCGGUCACCCUCUCAGGCCGGCUACCCGUCGAAGCCUUGGUAGGCCCAUUACCCCACCAACAAGCUGAUAGGCCGCGAGCACAUCCCCCACCACAAAAGUUUCCACCAACACCCCAUGCGGAGAUCGGUCGUAUCCGGUAUUAGACACCAUUUCUAGUGCUUAUCCCAGAGUGAGGGGCAGAUUACUCACGUGUUACUCACCCGUUCGCCGCUCGUGUACACCGAAGUGCCUUACGCUCGACUUGCAUGUGUUAAGCACGCCGCCAGCGUUCGCCUGAGCAGGAUCAAACUCU